AGCUGAAAGGGAGGGCGCACACACAAGGAGUCGACACUGCCAGACAAACAGCGACGGCCUCCGGAGCCGUGUGCGCAGGUUCGAAUCCUGCCGGGG
rnacentral:tRNA from 1 species